GACAGAGGGUGCAAACGUUGCUCGGAAUUACUGGGCGUAAAGCGCGUGUCGGCGGGCAUGCAAGUCGAGUGUGAAAUCCCUGGGCUCAACCCAGGAACUGCAUUCGAAACUGCAUGUCUAGAGUGUCGGAGAGGGAAGCGGAAUUCCUGGUGUAGAGGUGAAAUGCGUAGAUAUCUGAAGGAACAUCAGUGGCGAAAGCGACUUCCUGGACCAAUACUGACGCUCAGGUGCGAAAGCGUGGGGAGCAAACAGG
rnacentral:rRNA from 1 species